rnacentral:lncRNA from 1 species
GCACUGGGCAUCCCAAAGGGGUUUCCUGCUGUCGGGCAGCACCCUGGGCACAGGGAUGUGGGCAGGGCAGGGGAGGAAGCCGGACACGUCACGGCGCGUCACCCGGCACGGGGAAGCCCUCACCGCAACCGGAUGCGGAGGGUGACUGCUGGAAGCCAGCCUUAAGUGCUUCUGUGCCUGGAACACGGCAGAAUGUCAACAGCCCACCAGGGUGAGAAGCCACCUGCAGGGAUGGAGCCGUGGACAGUGACGCCUCCAGGA